CGAGCACGCGCGUGUGGCAUAUCAAUAAGCGGAGGAAAAGAAACUAACAAGGAUUCCCUUAGUAACGGCGAGUGAAGCGGGAAGAGCUCAAAUUUGAAAUCUUCAAGGUUCUGACCUUGACGAAUUGUAGUUUAUAAGAAGUGUUUUCUGUUAGGUGGAGUGGCAAAAGUUCUUUGGAAUAGGACAUCAUAGAGGGUGAGAAUCCCGUAUUUGGUCAUUCCUCCUAGCGUUGUGAUACACUUUCAACGAGUCGGAUUGUUUGGGAAUGCAGUCCAAAAUGGGUGGUAAAUUUCAUCUAAAGCUAAAUAUUGGCGAGAGACCGAUAGCGAACAAGUACCGUGAGGGAAAGAUGAAAAGAACUUUGAAAAGAGAGUUAAACAGUACGUGAAAUUGUCAAAAGGGAAGCGUUUGACACCAGUGUUGUUUUUCCGAAAAUCAAUUAAGAAUGUUUUGUUUUUGAGGAGUUAUGACUUCAUCGGCUUGCUCCUUUCUUUAUGAAACUUUCUUAAUGCACUUUUCGGUUAACAAGUCAACAUCAAUUUCUUUUGUUGUAAAAGGGUAAGAGGAAGGUGGCUUUCUUUUCGGAGAAAGUGUUUAUAGCCUUGUGCCUCUGCAAUCGGAGAGAUUGAGGUCUGCAGUGUAGAUCCUUCGGGGUUAGAUACGUUUGUGCUAAGUUAUAGCUUUUCAUAGACAACUUGUUGACUAUGUUUAGUCUUGUAGCUUACUCGCUGACGCUAUCUUACCUACGCUUAGGAUGUUGAGCGCAUGUCUCUCUCU
rnacentral:rRNA from 1 species